UACGAAGGGGGCUAGCGUUGCUCGGAAUCACUGGGCGUAAAGCGCACGUAGGCGGAUCGUUAAGUCAGGGGUGAAAUCCUGGAGCUCAACUCCAGAACUGCCUUUGAUACUGGCGACCUUGAGUUCGGGAGAGGUGAGUGGAACUGCGAGUGUAGAGGUGAAAUUCGUAGAUAUUCGCAAGAACACCAGUGGCGAAGGCGGCUCACUGGUCCGGUACUGACGCUGAGGUGCGAAAGCGUGGGGAGCAAACAGG
rnacentral:rRNA from 1 species